rnacentral:snoRNA from 1 species
UGGGGCCACUAAACACAUGGAGCUGUUGUCACUUGAAAUGGACUAAGCUUCCGGAGCAGCUGUGGCAGGUUUUUUCUUGUGUUUGAAGGGUCACUGCUGCUCCUUGCAAAUUCUGAAAUGUUCUCACA